UGGCUCAGUGGUAGAGUGCUUGCCUCUCAUGCAUGAGGCCCUGGGUUCGAUUCCUCAG
rfam:Dipodomys ordii contig_64258, whole genome shotgun sequence.